UACGAAGGGGGCUAGCGUUGUUCGGAAUUACUGGGCGUAAAGCGCACGUAGGCGGCAUUGCAAGUCGGAUGUGAAAUCCCUCGGCUUAACCAAGGAAGUGCAUCCGAAACUGCUGUGCUUGAGUACUUAAGAGGAUCGCGGAAUUCCCGGUGUAGAGGUGAAAUUCGUAGAUAUCGGGAGGAACACCAGUGGCGAAGGCGGCGAUCUGGGAAGAUACUGACGCUGAGGUGCGAAAGCGUGGGGAGCAAACAGG
rnacentral:rRNA from 1 species